GGGAGCGUCGCCAAGUCGCUUAAGGCGCCGAAUUUUGAUUCCGGUGAUCGCAGGUUCGAAUCCUGCCGCGCUUACCA
rnacentral:tRNA from 1 species